GGGGGUGUAGCUCAGAUGGUAGAGCAUUCGUUUCGCAUACGAGGGGCAAGGGGAUCGAUACCCCUCACCUCCA
rnacentral:tRNA from 1 species